CCUACGGGAGGCAGCAGUAGGGAAUAUUGCGCAAUGGGGGAAACCCUGACGCAGCAACGCCGCGUGGAGGAUGAAGGUUUUCGGAUUGUAAACUUCUUUUGUUAGAGAAGAUAAUGAUGGUAUUAAAUGAAUAAGCACCGGCUAACUCCGUGCCAGCAGCCGCGGUAAUACGGAGGGUGCAGGCGUUACUCGGAAUCACUGGGCGGAAAGAGCGCGUAGGCGGGAAAGCAAGUCAGAUGUGAAAUCCUAUGGCUUAACCAUAGAGCUGCAUUUGAAACUGUUAUUCUGGAGUAUGGGAGAGGUAGGUGGAAUUCUUGGUGUAGGGGUAAAAUCCGUAGAGAUCAAGAGGAAUACUCAUUGCGAAGGCGACCUGCUAGAACGUAACUGACGCUGAUGCGCGAAAGCGUGGGGAGCAAACAGGAUUAGAUACCCUUGUAGUC
rnacentral:rRNA from 1 species